CUUAAUGUAAUAAACAAAAUCAUUGGGGCAAGCAUGUAUCUUCUUAUAUUCAAGACCCAUUGGACAUAAAACUUUUUUGGCCUCGUAGUUACGAAUAGGAAGAGUAUUAUUUUCUGGAAGCAUCUCCUUCAGCAACUCCAACAACUCCGUGAAACUUUUAUCCGUCCAUCCGUUCCUUGCUUUUAAACUGAACAACUUCAAAGUUGCAGACAAACGUGUAAAGUUCGUGCAUCCUGGGU
rnacentral:lncRNA from 1 species